CCCAAAUUGUGCAGUUGAGUUUCCAACAUUUGGGGAAAUCACAGAGGUCAGCACAUCCAGAGUGCAAUGGAUGAGCCUUGCCCUGGAAAAACCACCUUUGUGAUCAUGGCGUCUCGCCUGGCAGUUGAAGCUCUGGAUCUGGUGGACCCAAGCCACUGCUGUUAUAACUGAAGAGGACAAGCCUGUGAUCAAAGAGUGACUGUGGAAGCAAGUGAUGACAUGGUGGCGCCAUAGAAGAAAGUGGCCUGGAUUGUGGAGCCAGCUCAUGGAGGACACUGCCCUGAAAUUUCACCUAGAUUCCUGAGUCCCCAGUCAGCCCUGGGAAAAGGGGCCCUGC